rnacentral:rRNA from 1 species
ACGGGGGGUGCAAGCGUUGUUCGGAAUCAUUGGGCGUAAAGCGCGCGCAGGCGGCUUGGUAAGUCAGAUGUGAAAUCCCUGGGCUUAACCCAGGAAGUGCAUUUGAUACUGCCUCGCUAGAGUACGGGAGAGGAAAGUGGAAUUCCUGAAGUAGCGGUGAAAUGCGUAGAUAUGAGGAGGAACACCAGUGGCGAAGGCGACUUACUGGUCCGAAACUGACGCUGAACCGUGAAAGCGUGGGGAGCAAACAG